AAAAUUAAUUUGGUCCCAAAAAAACCUAAAAUUGAUGCAUUUUAACACAAACCCAAAUCAAAGAAAUUGCUCCCCUCCCUCCUGCCAUUACCAUCGGAACAGCGCCCCAUGUUGCUGUUUGUUCUUAGCAAAACCGAAGCUUCUCCUUCUCCUCUACAUCUUCUUCUUCCUCCACCCUUCUUUUUCAGUUUAAUUGUGUUUUCUUUUCAAGUUGGUUGUGAUUACUGUACUUGUAAUUGUAGAGUCUGCAGAUAAUUGCAUAAAGACAGUAAAUUUUUUUCUUUAAUACUCAAACAGUUUGUCCCUUUUAUACAAGUCUUUUGAUUUUUCCUAUUUGAAAUGUUUUGAAACUCUCUCUCUCUUCCAGAUGUUACAUAAUUGCAAAGUUGCUCAUGUACUUCCUCGCAUAGCUGAUUGUGCAAAGAAUGAUCGUAAUGCAGUGCUCCGUGCAAGGUGUUGUGAAUAUGCCCUGUUGAUAUUAGAACAUUGGCCUGAUGCUCCAGAAAUAAAGCGAUCUGCUGAUCUAUACGAAGAUUUUAUUAGGUGUUGUGUUGCUGAUGCAAUGAGUGAGGUACAAUCAAUUGCAACAAUGUGCUACACACUUUUUUGCAAAGACUUGCCCAGAGCGAUCCCGUCGCUUAUUUUCAUCCUUUGAUACGGUCAUGCAAAGGAUAAUUAAUGAAGAUCAUGGUGGGAUGCAUAGGCGACAUGCUCCUCCUUCUCUCCUGGCCCUCCUGUCUUUACUUCACCAGUUAGGCCUGCUGCUGUGCCUUUUUGGACAUCUCCUGCAACUCUACAGCUUGUGGCAUUCUCUUCAGGUUCAUCUUUGCCCACAUCUUCACCUCCCCAUUUCUCUAAUAGGUCAGCUGAGUUGCAGCACCAAGUUCCUGAUGUUAUUGAGGAAACAACGCCUUAUGGGGAAUCUUCAUGUGUUAUGUUUUCAGCUCAUAAGGUGUUGAAACAGAAGAAACAAGCAAAUGUACCCAGUUUAGGUUUUGGGGCACUAGUUUCCCCUGGGAGAGAGGUUUUACCGAUUUAUGUUUUACUUAGUAGAUGAAACCAGCAUUUAGUAAUGUAAAGUCAUUCCAUGAUGCAGUGGUGACUGAUUGCUUGAAUGAUUAAUGAGUUAAAAGUGUAAAUAAUUUAUCAGUAAUCAGAACCAACUUUGAAGCAACGAAGGUAGAAAGAAAAGAAGGCAUCUGAAGCUAAUGGAGAUACAAAAGCAUGGAAUAGAUUUAGCUGUGUUUUUUUAGCAGAAAGUGUAUUUAGUUAGAAAGGGUUGGCACGAUCCAUAGAAUCUUUAGAGUAGGGACUGAAAGUGUAUUUAGUUGAGACAAAAUGCAUGUUUUGAUCCGUUGUUAUUUUGGGAA